AUUGAACGCUGGCGGCAUGCCUUACACAUGCAAGUCGAACGGCAGCACGGGAGCAAUCCUGGUGGCGAGUGGCGGACGGGUGAGUAAAGUAUCGGAACGUGCCCAGUCGUGGGGGAUAACGUAGCGAAAGUUACGCUAAUACCGCAUACGAUCUAUGGAUGAAAGCGGGGGAUCGCAAGACCUCGCGCGAUUGGAGCGGCCGAUAUCAGAUUAGGUAGUUGGUGGGGUAAAGGCUCACCAAGCCGACGAUCUGUAGCUGGUCUGAGAGGACGACCAGCCACACGGGGACUGAGACAAGGCCCAGACUCCUACGGGAGGCAGCAGUGGGGAAUUUUGGACAAUGGGCGAAAGCCUGAUCCAGCCAUGCCGCGUGCAGGAUGAAGGCCUUCGGGUUGUAAACUGCUUUUGUACGGAACGAAAAGGUUUGGGCUAAUAAGCUGAGCUCAUGACGGUGCCGUAAGAAUAAGCACCGGCUAACUACGUGCCAGCCGCCGCCGUAA
rnacentral:rRNA from 1 species